GGGGAAUUUUGGACAAUGGGGGCAACCCUGAUCCAGCCAUGCCGCGUGCGGGAAGAAGGCCUUCGGGUUGUAAACCGCUUUUGUCAGGGAAGAAAUCCUCUGGGUUAACACCUCGGGGGGAUGACGGUACCUGGAGAAUAAGCACCGGCUAACUACGUGCCAGCAGCCGCGGUAAUACGUAGGGUGCAAGCGUUAAUCGGAAUUACUGGGCGUAAAGCGUGCGCAGGCGGUUGUGCAAGACAGAUGUGAAAUCCCCGGGCUUAACCUGGGAACUGCAUUUGUGACUGCACGGCUGGAGUGCGGCAGAGGGGGAUGGAAUUCCGCGUGUAGCAGUGAAAUGCGUAGAUAUGCGGAGGAACACCGAUGGCGAAGGCAAUCCCCUGGGCCUGCACUGACGCUCAUGCACGAAAGCGUGGGGAGCAAAC
rnacentral:rRNA from 1 species